UGGAUGAAGCAACCGAACACAAAGUGCACAACCGGAAUAAAGAUGUGGAGAUGAAGAACUCAUUUUUUUCUUAUCCAUGGAGUUCAUUUCUCCUAAAUUUUGAAGUUCACAUCUCCUGCUAAUUGGAGCUAGAGAAGGAAGUUCAUUACAAAUCUCUGGCAAGAAGCUCCAUAUAUUUCUCGGAGAAAGUAUUCUCUCCAGGCAACUCCAGCGGCAAACUGAAGGAUGCAGCCCCAUUCAUCGCCCAGAAUCUUUGCCUUUGCUCCUGCCUCAGCAGCACAGUCACUUCAUAGCUUCUUCACCAGCGGUUGUGGAAUAAAUCAUCGCCUAUACGGACAAAGUGGACAUAAUGCUAUGCUUGUACUGUGGUGUUACAAGGUGUUGAAAGCUUAGAUGUGUGUCCUUAAAUUACUCUAGUUCUAACAAGUGGGCUGCAAGUGUAUCUUGUCGUUCCUGUAACCUAUUUGUUUGAAGAUACCAGGGAUCCAACAAUUUCAGUUGGUUAGAGAUUGU